rnacentral:rRNA from 1 species
ACACGCUGGCGGCGUGCCUAAUACAUGCAAGUUGAACGCAACAAAGACACCAGAGCUUGCUCUACCGUCUUUGGUUGAGUAGCGAACGGGUGAGUAACGCGUGGGUAACCUGCCUUAUAGCGGGGGAUAACUAUUGGAAACGAUAGCUAAUACCGCAUAACAAUAGAGAUUGCAUAAUCUUUAUUUGAAAGUGCCAACUGGUACACUAUGAGAUGGACCCGCGUUGUAUUAGCUAGUUGGUAGUGUAAUGGACUACCAAGGCGAUGAUACAUAGCCGACCUGAGAGGGUGAUCGGCCACAUUGGGACUGAGACACGGCCCAAACUCCUACGGGAGGCAGCAGUAGGGAAUCUUCGGCAAUGGACGAAAGUCUGACCGAGCAACGCCGCGUGAGUGAAGAAGGUUUUCGGAUCGUAAAACUCUGUUGUUAGAGAAGAAUGUUGAUUAGAGUGGAAAAUUAAUCAAGUGACGGUAUCUAACCAGAAAGGGACGGCUAACUACGUG